rnacentral:rRNA from 1 species
CUUGUACCGACUGGAUGAGCAGCGAACGGGUGAGUAACGCGUGGGGAAUCUGCCUUUGAGCGGGGGACAACAUUUGGAAACGAAUGCUAAUACCGCAUAAAAACUUUAAACACAAGUUUUAAGUUUGAAAGAUGCAAUUGCAUCACUCAAAGAUGAUCCCGCGUUGUAUUAGCUAGUUGGUGAGGUAAAGGCUCACCAAGGCGAUGAUACAUAGCCGACCUGAGAGGGUGAUCGGCCACAUUGGGACUGAGACACGGCCCAAACUCCUACGGGAGGCAGCAGUAGGGAAUCUUCGGCAAUGGACGAAAGUCUGACCGAGCAACGCCGCGUGAGUGAAGAAGGUUUUCGGAUCGUAAAACUCUGUUGGUAGAGAAGAACGUUGGUGAGAGUGGAAAGCUCAUCAAGUGACGGUAACUACCCAGAAAGGGACGGCUAACUACGUGCCAGCAGCCGCGGUAAUACGUAGGUCCCGAGCGUUGUCCGGAUUUAUUGGGCGUAAAGCGAGCGCAGGUGGUUUAUUAAGUCUGGUGUAAAAGGCAGUGGCUCAACCAUUGUAUGCAUUGGAAACUGGUAGACUUGAGUGCAGGAGAGGAGAGUGGAAAUCCAUGGGUAAC